UUCUCCUGCCUCAGCCUCCCAAGUAGCUGGGAUUACAGACCUGGUGAACAGGAAGUAUUCAUUGGGUUCUUAUGAAGAAUGAGAUAACGUAUACAAAGUGCUCAGCACUAUCACAUAUGAAGCACUCAAUAAUUGGCAGCUAUGAGUUUCA